rnacentral:rRNA from 1 species
UACAGAGGGGGCAAGCGUUAUUCGGAAUUAUUGGGCGUAAAGGGCGCGUAGGCGGCUUGGCAAGUGGAAGGUGAAAUCCCUCGGCUUAACCGAGGAACUGCCCUCCAAACUGCUUCGCUUGAGACCGGGAGAGGUGAGUGGAAUUCCCAGUGUAGCGGUGAAAUGCGUAGAUAUUGGAAGGAACACCAGUGGCGAAGGCGGCUCACUGGACCGGUACUGACGCUGAUGCGCGAAAGCGUGGGGAGCAAACGGG